CCGAUAGCUCAACCGGAUAGAGCACCUGGCUUCGAACCAGGGGGUUAGGGGUUCGAAUCCCUUUCGGUG
rnacentral:tRNA from 1 species